rnacentral:rRNA from 1 species
GACGAACGCUGGCGGCGUGCUUAACACAUGCAAGUCGAACGGCAAGGCCCUGCUUUUGUGGGGUGCUCGAGUGGCGAACGGGUGAGUAACACGUGAGUAACCUGCCCUUGACUUUGGGAUAACUUCAGGAAACGGGGGCUACUACCGGAUAGGAGCCCCUGUUGCAUGGUGGGGGUUGGAAAGUCUCGGCGGUUGGGGAUGGAUUCGCGGCUUAUCAGCUUGUUGGUGGGGUAGUGGCAUACCAAGGCUUUGACGGGUCGCCGGCCUGGGGGGGUGACCGGCCACAUUGGGACUGAGAGACGGCCCAGACUCCUACGGGAGGCAGCAGUGGGGAAUAUUGCACAAUGGGCGGAAGCCUGAUGCAGCAACGCCGCGUGCGGGAUGACGGCCUGCGGGUUGUAAACCGCUUUCGCCUGUGACGAAGCGUGAGUGACGGUAAUGGGUAAAGAAGCACCGGCUAACUACGUG